rnacentral:rRNA from 1 species
AUUGAACGCUGGCGGCAGGCCUAACACAUGCAAGUCGAACGGUAACAGGGAUCAGCUUGCUGAUUCGCUGACGAGUGGCGGACGGGUGAGUAAUGUCUGGGAAACUGCCUGAUGGAGGGGGAUAACUACUGGAAACGGUAGCUAAUACCGCAUAACGUCGCAAGACCAAGGAGGGGGACCUUCGGGCCUCUUGCCAUCGGAUGUGCCCAGAUGGGAUUAGCUAGUAGGUGGGGUAACGGCUCACCUAGGCGACGAUCCCUAGCUGGUCUGAGAGGAUGACCAGCCACACUGGAACUGAGACACGGUCCAGACUCCUACGGGAGGCAGCAGUGGGGAAUAUUGCACAAUGGGCGCAAGCCUGAUGCAGCCAUGCCGCGUGUAUGAAGAAGGCCCUCGGGUUGUAAAGUACUUUCAGCGGGGAGGAAGGGAGUAAAGUUAAUACCUUUGCUCAUUGACGUUACCCGCAGAAGAAGCACCGGCUAACUCCGUG